rnacentral:rRNA from 1 species
UACAGAGGGGGCAAGCGUUAUUCGGAAUUAUUGGGCGUAAAGGGCGCGUAGGCGGCCUGGCAAGCGGAAGGUGAAAUCCCUCGGCUUAACCGAGGAACUGCCCUCCAAACUGCUUGGCUUGAGACCGGGAGAGGUGAGUGGAAUUCCCAGUGUAGCGGUGAAAUGCGUAGAUAUCGAGAGGAACACCUGCGGCGAAGGCGGGUUGCUGGGCCGACACUGACGCUGAUGCGCGAAAGCCAGGGGAGCGAACGGG